AAGGAGCACCAACUGGCCAGAUCGCUCGCUCGCGAGGAUCUGGUCGGUGGCUGCCCUUGACAGCGAACGCUCGUCAGGCAGCUGCUCAUAGAUGUGGAGCACUGGCUACUCACCAGCAUCCUGGUGCCGCUUGGCAAGUACCGCCGUCUCUCGGGACGGAGUGGGAACGGCAGGUCGGGGUCAGGGGACUGGUGAACACGCUGUUGGGUCCUGAGGAAACGGACCCUUCAGCCCCUGAACGAUGAUCCUUGUGGUCGUUGGGAUGGGGCUGGGUUGCUUCUUCUGGGAUCGCGGGACCAGGUCCCGACGUGGCGCAAGCCGCGGCGGCCUGGGUGGUCCCGGUUGUUUUUUGAGAACUACACAGUGGACGCGAGCAUCUCUGAACGAGAGCCACGUAGGGCUUCUUCGGGAGUUUCUAGUUGUGUUCUUGUUCUCUGUUGCGAUUUGUUUUGAUCGUUUUGU
rnacentral:misc_RNA from 1 species